rnacentral:rRNA from 1 species
UACGGGGGGGGCAAGCGUUGUCCGGAUUUAUUGGGCGUAAAGAGCGUGUAGGCGGCCAGGUAGGUCUGCUGUGAAAACUCGAGGCUCAACCUCGAGACGUCGGCGGAAACCAUCUGGCUAGAGUCCGGAAGAGGAGAGUGGAAUUCCUGGUGUAGCGGUGAAAUGCGCAGAUAUCAGGAGGAACACCCAUUGCGAAGGCAGCUCGCUGGGACGGUAUUGACGCUAAGGCGCGAAAGCGUGGGGAGCAAACAGG